AUACGGAGGAUCCGAGCGUUAUCCGGAUUUAUUGGGUUUAAAGGGUGCGCAGGCGGGAGAUUAAGUCGGCGGUGAAAUUUUGCAGCUCAACUGUAAAAGUGCCUUCGAAACUGGUUUUCUUGAGUAUGGAUGAAGUAGGCGGAAUUUGUGGUGGAGCGGUGAAAUGCAUAGAUAUCACGAGGAACUCCGAUUGCGCAGGCAGCUUACUAAACUACUACUGACGCUCAGGCACGAAGGCGUGGGGAUCAAACAGGAUUAGAUACCCUGGUAGUCCACGCAGUAAACGAUGAUUACUAGCUGUUUGCGAUACAAUGUAAGCGGCUGAGCGAAAGCGUUAAGUAAUCCACCUGGGGAGUACGUUCGCAAGAAUGAAACUCAAAGGAAUUGACGGGG
rnacentral:rRNA from 1 species